UAAAAGAUCAAAAAGAAAGAGCAAAGUGUCAGAUGGACUAUGCAAUAAAUUGAAACCUAAGAUAAAUGUGGUAUUCCUAUUUUUAUUUCCAUCAAGUUAUACAACAUGAAAACCAUCAAUAAUCUGAAUCCCCAAGAGACCAAAUAAAAUGCCAUGUCAUAUAAUAAUUCAGGUGAACAAGGCUAAAGUCGGACUCAUUUAAGCCAAAUGCAGUUGCUUACUCAAUAAGAAAAACAGCCUUUUUGUUAGGACAAUGUUGUAAAAGGAAAAAGUAACCGAAUGCAAAAAGAGAAGAAUAAUAAAAUUUCCAAAUGCUUGUGGCAGGGGCAAUAUCGGGAACAGAACAAGAAAGCACAUGCAACACACAUGUUGCCAGAUGCUGAAAUGAGUAAAGUUCUAAUGAUAAGAUAUUCAUAUAAAGUAAAUAUGGCGCAUUAACAUGUGUCAAUAAAUUGUCAUUAAAAGAUCAAAAAGAAAGAGCAAAGUGUCAGAUGGACUAUGCAAUAAAUUGAAACCUAAGAUAAAUGUGGUAUUCCUAUUUUUAUUUCCAUCAAGUUAUACAACAUGAAAACCAUCAAUAAUCUGAAUCCCCAAGAGACCAAAUAAAAUGCCAUGUCAUAUAAUAAUUCAGGUGAACAAGGCUAAAGUCGGACUCAUUUAAGCCAAAUGCAGUUGCUUACUCAAUAAGAAAAACAGCCUUU
rnacentral:lncRNA from 1 species